AUUGAACGCUGGCGGCAGGCCUAACACAUGCAAGUCGAGCGGAGCGACGGACGGGUGAGUAAGGCCUAGGAAUCUGCCUGGUCGUGGGGGCUAACGUCCGGAAGCGAGCGCUAAUACCGCAUACUAUCAGAUGAGCCUAGGUCGGAGUAGCUAGUUGGGGGGGUAAAGGCCUACCCAGGCGACGAUCCGUAACUGGUCUGAGUGGAUGAUCAGGCACACUGGAACUGAGACACGGUCCAGACUCCUACGGGAGGCAGCAGUGGGGAAUAUUGGACAAUGGGCGAAAGCCUGAUCCAGCAAUGCCGCGUGGGUGAAGAAGGUCUUCGGAUUGUAAAGCACUUUAAGUUGGGAGGCGUUACCAACAGAAUAAGCACCGGCUAACUUCGUGCCAGCAGCCGCGGUAAUUC
rnacentral:rRNA from 1 species